UGGAGAAUAUUGCGCAAUGGGGGAAACCCUGACGCAGCAACGCCGCGUGAGUGAGGAAGGACUUCGGUCUGUAAAGCUCUGUUAAUGUGGAAAAAAUGGUAGUUGGCCUAAUAGGCCGAUUAUUUGAUGGUACACAUAGAGGAAGCACCGGCUAACUUCGUGCCAGCAGCCGCGGUAAUACGAAGGGUGCAAGCGUUGUUCGGAUUUAUUGGGGCGUAAAGCGCGCGUAGGCGGGACCUGCAAGUCAGAUGUGAAAUCUCGGGGCUCAACCUCGAAACUGCGUCUGAAACUACAGGUCUAGAAUCUUGGAGGGGGAAGGGGGAAUUUCGCAUGUAGGGGUAAAAUCCGUAGAUAUGCGAAGGAACACCAGAGGCGAAGGCGCCUUCCUGGACAAGUAUGACGCUGAGGCGCGAAAGCGUGGGGGAUCAAACAGGAUUAGAUACCCUGGUAGUCCACGCUGUAAACGAUGAACACUAGAUAUUGGAGG
rnacentral:rRNA from 1 species